rnacentral:rRNA from 1 species
AGCUCCAGAAGCGUAUGCUAAAGUUGUUGCAGUUAAAAAGCUCGUAGUUGAAUUUCUGGUUAGGUUUGACCGUGGGGAGCCUUCUUUUGAGGGUUCUUUUUUUCUGCGUGUCGAGCUCGCCAUCCUGGCUGGUGUGUUCGCAUACUAGCCUCGUUUACUGUAAAUAAAAUAGAGUGUUCAAAGCAGGUCGUAGGACCGGGAUAUUUCUUAUGGGAUAAUAAGAUAGGACUGGCGUGCUAUUUUGUUGGUUUGUACAUGUCAGUAAUGAUUAAUAGGGACAGUUGGGGGUAUUCGUAUUUAGCAGCUAGAGGUGAAAUUCUUGGAUUUGCGAAAGACGAACUACUGCGAAGGCAUUUACCAAGGAUGUUUUCAUUA